GAGGAUCUCCUUGUCAUUUUACAAGGAAAAGAUAGUAGCAUCUGCAGAUAUUAGAAUUCCCAAUCAGGCUGAGCUCGAGGCUGAGUUUUUAAGGGCAGAAAGAUCCACCCCAGAGAAGAAGCAUCGGCGGUAAUCAACGUGCUUCCUUCCGUGGUCAACGCUAGAUCUAAUCUCCCUCUUCUCUGGGCACCUACUUACUGUUUGUGAUUGCGGUGGAAAAUGAGAGGGAAAAAAUCCAUCAGUUACACAGUGACAGAAAAGAAUCCAGAUGGAGAUGCCCCAACUGGACACUGUCUUGGUGUGGGGGCAGAGUCCAUUCCAUAGCAUGGGGUAGCAUGGACACACAAGCACUUGAGCAAUCUCAAAGUGGCUUGUAAAAAGUCAUUGUCUGCCAUGGAUAACAUUCACCAGAGGACAAUCAAAUGGGCAAAAACCCAAGUGGGACUAGGAAUGAACACCAUUCCAGCUUUCCAGAACUCAGGACAUUCCAAAAGAAAAAGUACACAAAUCUCAGAGACAUCGUGCAUAAAGGCU
rnacentral:lncRNA from 1 species